rnacentral:rRNA from 1 species
CCUACGGGGCGCAGCAGUGGGGAAUAUUGCACAAUGGGGGAAACCCUGAUGCAGCAACGCCGCGGGAAGGAAGACGGUUUUCGGAGUGGAAACUUCUGUUCUUAGGGAAGAAGAAUGACGGGAGCGAAGGAGCAAGCCACGGCUAACUACGUGCCAGCAGCCGCGGUACUACGUAGGGGGCAAGCGUUGUCCGGAAUUACUGGGUGUAAAGGGAGCGCAGGCGGGAAGCCAAGUCAGCUGUGAAAACUACGGGCUUAACUUGUAGACUGCAGUUGAAACUGGUUUUCUUGAGUGAAGUAGAGGUUGGCGGAAUUCCUGGUGUAGCGGUGAAAUGCGUAGAUAUUCGGAGGAACACCGGUGGCGAAGGCGGCCAACUGGGCUUUAACUGACGCUGAGGCUCGAAAGUGUGGGGAGCAAACAGGAUUAGAUACCCGGGUAGUC